UCAGUCGACUCCUACGGGGAGGCAGCAGUGGGGAAUAUUGCACAAUGGGGGAAACCCUGAUGCAGCCAUGCCGCGUGUGUGAAGAAGGCCUUCGGGUUGUAAAGCACUUUCAGUAGGGAGGAAGGUACGUGUAGUUAACACCUGCACUAUUUGACGUUACCUACAGAAGAAGCACCGGCUAACUCCGUGCCAGCAGCCGCGGUAAUACGGAGGGUGCGAGCGUUAAUCGGAAUUACUGGGCGUAAAGCGCAUGCAGGCGGCCUGUUAAGUCAGAUGUGAAAGCCCGGGGCUUAACCUCGGAAUUGCAUUUGAAACUGGCAGGCUAGAGUCUUGUAGAGGGGGGUAGGAAUUUCAGGUGUAGCGGUGAAAUGCGUAGAGAUCUGAAGGAAUACCAGUGGCGAAGGCGGCCCCCUGGACAAAGACUGACGCUCAGAUGCGAAAGCGUGGGGAGCAAACAGGAUUAGAUACCCUGGUAG
rnacentral:rRNA from 1 species